rnacentral:sRNA from 1 species
AAAUUUCUUUUUUGAAUGACUUAAAAAAAAGUUUACCAUGACCAGACUUAACAUGACAUAUUGAAUUUGAUUUCUGAAAUUUGUUUCUUAGACUUUCUUCUUUUUUUGAACAAGAAGAUUUUUUUUUGACAUUAUUUGUUACUUAUUCUCUACUUACUUAAAAUGAAUAAAUAGACUCAUCAUCGUUUCGCCCAACAUCCAAAACCCAGUAUUGUAUAGGCCACGAAAAACAGCGAUCUCUGAAUAUAGAGUAUUCUUCUUGUUUAAAAGAUGCAAAUGAUUGUUGGUUCGACAAAUCGGAUUACAUGAAAGCAUUAUAGAUAACAGAACAAAAUUCAAACUUUGUCAAAACUAAUAAAAUGUUGGAUGGUGCGUAUUUGGAACAGGCUUGUCUAUGACCAAUGGCAGCAUAUGCAUUUGCCUAAGGUCCAAAUGCUCAAUUUAAAAAAUUGUUUAUGAUAAAAGGCACAAACUGAUUUUAAAACAACAUAUUUUACGUUAUAAACUAGAUAAGGCCGGCCCAAUUCGGAGGGUGUGAGAAAUAAAUAUAAUUUUGUAUCGAUAAUCUUUAUAUUCUAAAUAGUAUUCUAUAUUUUUCUUAAUA